UACGAGGGGGGCUAGCGUUGCUCGGAAUCACUGGGCGUAAAGGGUGCGUAGGCGGGUCUUUAAGUCAGGGGGGAAAUCCUGGAGCUCAACUCCAGAACUGCCUUCGAUACUGGGAGUCUUGAGUUCGGGAGAGGUGAGUGGAACUGCGAGUGUAGAGGUGAAAUUCGUAGAUAUUCGCAAGAACACCAGUGGCGAAGGCGGCUCACUGGCCCGAUACUGACGCUGAGGUGCGAAAGCGUGGGGAGCAAACAGG
rnacentral:rRNA from 1 species